GCCCGUGUAGUCCAAUCUGGUAGAGGCGCCGCAUUCAAACCGCGGAUGUUGUCGGUUCGAGUCCGACCAUGGGUACCA
rnacentral:tRNA from 1 species